GAAGUAAAAUGGCAGGGCUGCCUGGAACCUGCGGGGCCGCUGUCUCCCCGUGCCUUGGGACUGUUUGGUGAAUCGGCACAGUUUCCGGCAGCAGGCGCGUGGUAUGUGUUGCUGCAUCUUGGCAUUCAGGCUGGGAGGUCUCUCUAUGUGGACCCGGACACCUCCCGGUGACAGUGCUCUGGGGUUGUUGCCAAUGCGCUGGGCAGUGGGUAUGAGGAUGGCAAUGGAUUUCCAUGUGGCUUUUCUCUCAUGUCCCCCCCACCAAAUCCCCUCCUCGCCAGCUCAGCACCUCUGACGGGACCCUGGACCUGGGUGCUCAAGCUGAUCUGUGCCCCUGGGAGGUUCUGCCCCUUACAGGGACCUCUGCAGACAUGACCAACUCUUUGAUUCUACUGAUAUUUGGGUAGAUAAGAUUUUGCCUAAAAUAGUUAAAUCUGAACUCGUGCUUGCAAAUGCUUUGCCUGGAUGAAACGUUUGUUUUGUGAUGUAUGUAUGCAUGGUGUAACGCAUCCUAAUGAAUAGACGCCGCUCAUCCCAGGGGAUUUCAUCCGUGAAACGAAACGUGUACCUGAACUGCAUCCUCAGAGAGCCCUGGGCAGCCUCAGUCCUCAGAAAGGAAGGGGUGAGGUCCGAUGAGCAGGCAGGAAAACCCCAGGUGCAGCCCAGCCAGCUCGGAGGGCCCGCCCACAGACACAGCCCAGCCAGCUCAGAGGGCCCACCUCCAGGAGGGGCCGAGUAAAUUGUCCAGUGUGACCAAGUUGAAGUGAGAGCCUUCCAGCCCCCUCACGACGACCCUCAGAAUCCCACAGGCUCAACAUAUGGUCCACCACCAGGAACCCUGUGCAUGGGAACCUUCAUUUCCAGGUGGCUCCCAGCCCCAAGGACAAGGUCUGAAGCUCACCUUCUAGGCUCUCAGCCCCACAUUCCUGUGUCCACAGGCUCUGGCCAUUCCACCUCUUGGAUCUCUAGGGGUUCACUUGCGUGUCUAUUGUGGGGGCUCUGGAGAUGACCUGUAAGGGCUGGGGUCUUUGUUUGUUCACAGGCUGGGGGCCACUCCUAAUGGGGCACCCUCAUCACACCAAGCAUGCCACGAAACAUGGCUGGUGGAUGAUUCUUUCCGUUACUUAGGCCUGGCCCUCUCACAGGGCAGAGGGCUCCAGGCACUAUCCUGCCCCCAUGCAGCCCCCCAGGCAAGGAAUCAAGGCAGGACACUGUGCCAGUCAGCUGUCCACCCUGUGCUGCAUAACAAACAGCUCCAAAACUCAGCGCCAUGCAGCAAUCAGCGUCUCUUCCUUGCUUCUCUGUCUGCGGGUUGACCAGGAUCUCAUGUAAGCUGGUUCGGCUGGGUUUGUCUCUAGGCUGCAAGUUGGAUCCCCACGCCCUCCAUCUUCCCGUCCUUCUUAACCAGGACCUGUCCCAGGCAUGCUCCUCCCACAGCAGAAGUGCCAGAGAAAAGGCAGAAACAUGCAGGGUCUAAGGCCUGUGGUUGGGGUCGGAGUGCUGUCACCUCUGCUCAUAUGCUUUUGACCAAAGUAAGUCUCAUGAACCAGCCCAAAAUUAAGGGGCUGGAAACAUUGCCCCCACCAGUGGGAGGAGCGAUAAAGCCGCACAGCAAAGGGCAUGGAUACAGAGAGGGGUGAAGGAUUGGGAGCAAUACUCCCAUGCAACCAGGUCUCAAAUCACUCUGAUGAUCUCCAGAAGGCAAAGCAUGUUAUGGGAGAAGCCCAAAGAGCCUCUGGGGUCUGAGGAAGGAGUGGCCACAGCCAGCCGAGAGCCAGGAAGGCUUCGUGGAGAAGGCAGCACAGGCUUGAUCUGAACCUUGAAGGCUGGGCAGGAUUCAACACAGAGACUGGGAAGCACAUUCCUGUAGAUACAACAGCCCGAGCCCCAUCCCAGAGGUGUCCACAGAGAACAGGAAGUGAAGUUACCCAGCCCUGGCCAUCAGGAACAUGAUGGAGAAUGAGGAGAGGCAGACUAUAGAGGUGGAUGUUGGUGGGGGGCCUCAAAUGCCAAGCAACAGGGCUUGGAUGCAUUCAGAGGGCACUGGGGAGCCAUCUAUGGUGGCGAGGAGAGAAGGAGCGUUCACGUGAGCUGAGCACAGGCCUCUGCAGACCCCCUUGGGCUGUGGGUGGUGGUCCCAUACCACGAAGCCCCCAGCUCCCCUGCUACACAGUUUAGAAUUGAGUGGGGUGCAGAAGCUGCAGGCUCUGUGUCCCACACUCAAGUACCAAAGAGCAAGGCCUGCCCCUUUUGACCUGUGGGUCCAAGGCUUUGUGUUUCUGGCACACGGGGAUGGUGGAGGCAGCAAGGGUAGUCCUGAGGGACUGGCAGGACCCCCUCCUUGGGCUGCACCCCAACUCUGCACACCAGGAGUGGGUCUUGCCAGGUUGGGGGACUGGCAGGACCCCCCGCCUUGGGCUGCACCCCAACUCUACGCACCAGGAGUGGGCCUUGCCAGGUUGCAGCACAGAACUGCACUUUCCGAGCUUUUAGGGGAAGAGGCGCUCGUGAAUAAUUCAGCCUCUUUCGCUGAGAUAAAAAUGCCCUAAUAGAACUAAUGGACUCGCUGCCUCAAAACUUGACUCUGGUGGGACUCAUCUCAUUCACCAAUUGCCUCUGACGUCCUGCAGUGACACUCCCUAAUGAGAAAGCUGCCGUGCCAGAUCCUUAGAGCGUCUGGUCAUCCCUAAUAAACUAGACUGUGGGCUUUGUAACAAGCAGACGCCCCCAGGAAGGCAGGUGAGUCCUCCCUUCAGCCCUAGGACUGGAUGCAGCCGCUACCUUCCUAGGGGAGGUGCCGCUUGGGGGUUUGCAUCCCCAGGAAUGAGAAUAAGAGGAGACAAUAUUUUGGGGUGCUUUUGGCUAAUCUGAAAUUAGACCCUCUGCAUUUUUUCAAAGCAGAAGACCUCAAAAAAGAACCAGCCCGAGCGGCGGCUCCCAGGCCAGGCGGCACCAUGCUGUCCAUGACAUACAGUGAGAGUCUGCGGAGCGUGAGCAGCAGGUGCCACUCUGAAUGGGCCCUGCACCCCGUCCGCCAGACUGACAUGCUGGAACUGCAGCGGCUGCGGGAGGUGCGGGCAGCAGCCCAGGCCAGGAACAUGGAGAGCUUCCUCCGCAUGCACGGCCUCUCCCUGGACGGCUGCACCGCCCAGCGCACAGGCAUGAAGUAUCGGUAAGGGUCAGGCAAGGGGGUGGGGUGGGAAGUCUGAUUUCAGCCACGUAAAAACAUAUAAAAGGGCCCGGCACAGGGGCUCACGCCUGUAAUCCCAGCACUUUGGGAGGCUGAGGCAGGUAGAUCACCUGAGAUCAGGAGUUCGAGACCAGCCUGGCCAACAUGGUGAAAC